GAGGAGCCUGACGGGGUCUGGCGGGUGGAGCCUCCACCGAAAGCAGCCCCUCGAUUUCCGGGGAGAGGGGGAGGAGUGGGCCCGGGGCUGGGCUGCCUGGGGGCCCCGGGCACUAGGAUGGACCCCCGGUUGUGCAGACUUGACUGAACGGGUCUUGGAGUAUUAGGCACUGGAGGCGGAAUGUUAUCAGGCUUCGCGCCCACGUCGGGCCUCGGGGGAGGCAUUCGGUUCCUCUGAGGUUCUGGAGGUCCGCUUCUGUGGCCUGGAGAAGGCACAGGGAACCUCCCUGGGCCACUUGGGGGAGAGAAAGGUUUGGCAGAUGUGGGUCUUCCUCCUGGUGGCAAAAUCGGGGGUCGGCUUCCUCCAGAAUCUGAAGAACAGAAAAAAAAAAAAAAAAAAAAAUCAGAAAGUUAGGAACCUUAAAGGAAAUCAGAGAACUAGAGUAAAUUGCCAGCUACUGGAAGCCCUUUCCUAGAUGCUGUAAACGAUAGGUAACUAUUAUUUAUAUAAACUAGGUUUUUUGUGUCCUUCCUGGAAGCAGAGGGACAGAUCACAGCUCUCUGUUUCUCUUCUACUCCCAGAUUCCACAACCCAUCAUCUUUCAAAGGGAUUCUGGAGAGCUCUCUUGGCAUUCUGGAUGGACAAGAACCAGGAGGAAGUUGGUAAGAGUUCUGGAGACAUCCCCAUUCAUUACAAGAGUCCAAGCUCCAGAGGGCUGAAGGCAAUGAGGCAAUCAAUGCAAGAGGAGAAGCAGAAAAGGCUGCUCAACCCAAGAAGAAGCCAAAGUAGCCUGGAACGGAAUCUUCAGUAUCUCCGAAGUAAGCCUGUACAGCUCAAGGCAGCUGAAGAUCAGAGCUUUCUAAGCCAAAAUGUUUUGUUUCCGUCCGCCACACUUAAUGGGGUGACAAUAACUCUCCCAGAAGAUGCUUGACAGAAGCACAGAGAUGAUGAGUACACAAGGAGGAAACUCAGAUCCCUCACUCUCAAAGGACUC